ensembl:lncRNA
GUGAGUCUGAUCUUGAAGAGCCUUUUAAGCUGGGGGAGUAUUUUCCAAGAGCAAAGGGAACCGGUGAACUGUUUAACAGAGCUUGCGUUUAUGGAGCGUGAGGAACGUGGCACAGACUGGGAGCAGGCAUUCAGGACCCGGCUUCGGCUGUCAGGGAAGCCGGCGAGGAGGAAGGAGAGUGGCUUGAGCACACGGAACCCCAGACGCUGACCAACAUCUGCUGGUUCUUUCUUUCUCCUCCCCGCUCCUCAGUCACUCACAGCGCCAGCUACGUGCAGGGCCCCACGCCAGGGGGCAGGGACACCCACUGCUCCGCGCUCCCAGACCUCAGCAGGCCCUUGGUUAUUGCUCUUGCUUUUCCAGAAGUCAUGUGGAGUAAGAUAAAUAUAGUUUAUGGAUUCGCACAACUGGUUCUGCCACUUAUUAAGCACACAAGCCGGGGCAAAUCACUUAACCUUUCUGAGUUUCCCUUUCCUGAUUUGUAAAUAACUAUUAUAGCUACUUCAGAAGGCUAUUGCAAGAAUCAAAGACAAAGUAUAUAAAAACUUUAAACCUCAUGAAAGCCCUGUUCAGAUGAUGCGCUUUCCUCUCUUUGUCUCUCUACCAUCCAUGUGCUCUAGUUCUCCUAUUCUUUUCUUUUUCUCUCUCUCCUUUCAUUGUUUUCUCUAUUAAAUUAGUUCAGCAAAUAUUUCUCGUGAGCCUGUGCUAUUCAUCCAUCUAAAUGUCUGCCCAUGCUUGCUUCCCACACACACAUUCCCAUCAUGGAGCUUACUCUAUGAUCACUUAGGGACAUAGAACAAAGCUCACAAUGUAUUUUUAAGUGGAAAAUAAAACUGAUUACAAAAUAUGUUUGAUUGACAAGCAGGUGUUUUGGUGAAUAUGUGUGUGCUGUGUGAAAGGGAGCGAGAGAGAAAAAGUACAAAUAUAUUCGUCGAGCCAAAGAUUGGAAAAUAUACCUCAAAACAUUAGCAGAGUACCUCUAGAUGCUUUCAUUUGGCUUUGUUUUCCCAUUUUCUUGUAUUUUCCUGUAUUUUUCAAAUUUUCUGCCAGAAAUACAUUUGAUAAAUAGUAAAGCAGCCCAACAUGUUUUAAGAAAAAUAUACGACAUCAAAUGUUAUGAAUAAGUUAUACAUAGGAUGUUAUGGGAAUGGAUGUUUCUGAAUUAAAUGUGACUGGGUAGAAUCUCUGUGCUUAGCUUUGAAGGAUAAAAAGCUCUUUAGGAAAGACCUUAGUGAAUGGCAUUCGGGAGAAGGACCCACGGUGUGCAGACCCUGUCAGGAAACAAUGUUCUGUGUGCAGCCCCUGUCACCGGAAGUGUGUCCUGGGCUGCACUGGGAGAUGGGAAUUAGAAGCCACGCUAUGAAUCUUAGCUUUUAUCCUCUAAGUACAGAGGCAUUUAAGCAGAGGAUGUGUAUAGUCAGGCCUUCAUUCCUAUAGGUUACAGUGGUGGCAGUGUGAAAUGCAUAAUAAAGAGGUUAGAAACAGACAGGAAGCACGGAAAUUUGCCAGGACGCUAGUGUCCAAGUAAAAGACAGUGAAGGUCUGGACCAGAACAAUGUGGUGAGAAUGGAGAGAAAUAUUUUAGGGAUGAUUGAGAAUUGUUUAAGGCUUAUUUCCCAUUCUGCCUAUGUUAUACUAUAUUGUUAAAUUAGCAACAUUAUAACUUAUUUAAGAAAGUAUACUUAGGUGCCUAUAUAAUAUGCCUGCAUAAUUUUCCAGCUGGAACAAAAGUAUCAAAGGGCAUGGGAAGGCUAAGACCCAAAGACCUUGGAAGAUUUCAUAAUUUGGCGUGGGUCUCACUUCUGCAAGCCCAGAGGAGUCAGUCAGAGCUAGAAAAUGCUUCCCUCUGGUCCGAAACUAAGCUACGGGGAGACGGGAAACAGCAGAGGGCCUGAGAGACUCUGGAGGAGGACCCACCAAUGUUAUCGGCAGACAAGACCAGAUUAGCAACUGUGGUCUUGUGGGCAGUCAGAGAGCAGGCUGUGCAGUGAUGUGGCCUGGAAAGAGAGAGGAGGGUUGUGUGUGUGUGUGUGUGUGUGUGUGUGUGUGUGUGUGUGUGUGUGUGUGUGUUUGGCUUUUUCUGAGUCAUGUUUAGUCUUUAUAACAGAGACUUUCCACCUGGCAUAAAGACAGUCAAGAGUUAAGAGAGACAGCAAAGCGCCUAAGUAUUUCAUGACAGCAGGGCGCCAACACAAGUUUGCUGGCAGUGAGCAGCAGCUUGGCUGUCCACACUAAGGAGAGACAUGGGCACAGGGAGGAAUACAUUCCCGAGCUCUUCUUUGGCCCAUGUUUUUACUUUGUUGACUUAAAAAAUAAUCACCACCUAAAAACUGAGAGCUAUGUUUUAUUUGGUAGGAAUUUUUAGGACUUCAAGGCCAACAGACAGCAUCUCAAGUAAUCCUGAGAGAACUGCUCCGAGGAAGGGCAGGCGGGAAGUAAGGGGUCAGGUCAUAUAGAAGAAGUGAAGUGAAGUCGCUCAGUCGUGUCUGACUCUGCGCCCCCAUGGACUGUAGCCUAACAGGAUCCUCGGUCCAUGCGAUUUUCCAGGCAAGAGUACUGGAGUGGGUUGCCAUUUCCUUCUCCAGGGCAUCUUCCCAACCCAGGGAUCGAACCCGGGUCUCCCGUAUUGUAGGCAAAUGCUUUACCGUCUGAGCCAGAAGUUUGUAACAAAGGGCUGGUAGCCUGAACACCAAGAGAUUGUUGUGAAUUAAAGAAACCUAGAUAUCUCAAGUUAAGGAGUUUAGCACUUUUUUAUGUGUGAGAAGAUGCAGGAGUCUGCUCCCUGAAACCAUUGCUUUCAUCAUCUCAGCUGGGUUGAGUAUCCAGCGAUUUUUCACAUCCUGAGUUCUUCAGGACGCCCCACAGGGAGUGGCUGCAGCCUUACAGCUGCCAAAUCUAUGCAGGUAUUCUUCUUCUUCCUGAGCGCCCUGGAGGGCAGGAAGCCCUGAUGGCUGUGACCUCCUUGCUUAUCGAUCUGAUAAGAAAUACUUCAUUUCUCAGUCUCACCCAAGUUUUGCUUUAUGUUUGCACCAAGUGAGUAAAUGCUUUCCUAAUGAAAUUUUGAGGCUUUUUCUUAAACCCCUCUUUCUAAUCAUAUUCAUGGGAAGUGUCUAAAAUCCUCCAAGUAAGGCACAAAUCUUCUUUCAUGAACAAAGUGAAUACUGAUAUUGAAAUCCAAGAUAAGUUUUAGGUGCUCUCAGCCUUCUGGCUGGAUGUAGGCUGGCACAAGAGAAGCCUUAAUAAAAGGACUCAGGAACACAAGGAGGAUUUAUGAUAGAGCGCAAAGAGUUGGGUUUGGAGGUCUGGAGCCCUGACGUCAGCCCACAGAGGGUCACAGCAUCUUUCUCUGAAGGGCUCGCUGAGCUCAGCUGCUUGGGGAAGUCAAGCCUCUGGUCAGAUCAGAGGGGUUGAACAAACUCAGGUAGUCCCUAAGGGUCUUUUCAUUUGUAUAUUUAGAUUCCGUGGACCAGGGGGACUUAAAAUAACAAUUAUUUGCAGCUUUGCAGAAAAUUAGAGAAACCUGUAAGAGUGAGCUUUCUAUAACAGGAUAACAGGAUUUAAACUGAACCAGCACAGAAAGCCAGAGGUAGAACUCAGAAAAAUACUUUUUUCCAGUGAGGUUUGUUCUGAUUUUCAAAGGGCUGUGUCCUCCUCUAGCCCUAUAUUAAAGUAUGCUUGGUGUUUGGGAGGGCGCUGUCUUUGUGUGUUGAUUUCUUUUAAUGAUGGUGAAAAUUCUUUCUUGGGCAAAAAAGGCCAAGAGCAGAGGAACUAUAGUGAGGUGGCAGGGGGCGCUGGGGGUGGGGUGGCAGCUGUCCUCAGAUUGGAUGCCAGGAAACAACCUGUCACAUGACCUCCAAGAACCUGAAGGCUUGAGGAAUCACUUUUCUGAGAAGACUUGCCUAGCAAACACCUCACCCACAGCUUCCUCUAGCCAGUAAGUCCUAAAGCUCAGGGUUAGCAGGGCAAGAGCACCUACCUCGAUCUCUCCAGUCCUGGAGUCCCGCCCUCCAAAAUGGCUCAGAGAAGCCAGCAAUUUCCUUUUCUGGCUUUCUUUUCCCUUUUCCUAUUGCAUUCUACUUCACAGGCAAAAGAAUUAUCUCCUAUGAAACAGAAUGAAGCUUACUUUAUAGUUUUGAUUCUGGUUAGGCCCACAAGGACAUACAAUAAUAUUUCUCUUGCCUUUUCUUUUUUUAAAGUAUUUGUUUGGGCUGCGCUUCUAUGAGCCAGGUCUUGUUCUGGGAGGGGCUGAAAUUGCCUGAGGGAGGCUGUAUGGGUGGAGUAAGAAAAUCUGAGUGGGAUUUCAGUGUUGAUGAGCAGGUAAAAAUUCUGUGUGUGUGUGUCUGUCUGUCGGUCUGUCUAACCCUUAGAAAAAGUUAAUUAUCAUAUUUCCAAGUACUCAGAGCAGAAUGGAUGAUACACUGAACAAUUUUGACGUUGCAUUUUGAUGCUCUGUUUGAAAUUCCCCCAGAACAAUGGCUCUAGGUCUGGUUUCUACUCCCCCACCUCCCUACAUUAUCAUUUCCCUACCAUAUUAUACAGUGAAAGAAUGUCAUCUAACUUUUUGAGAAAGACAGCUAGCUGGCAAAAUAUACCUCUUUCCUUCUCUGCGUUAGAGGCAGAUUCUGAGACCCUUCUCUAUGUCAAAAUGAUACCUAUAUUUCAAAGCACAGACAGCGUACAUUGUGAAGCCUCCUCUAAUUCUUCCAAACCCAAAACUAAAUGAAACAAACUAUAUGUGUAUAUAUACGGCUUCCAUCAUGGCUCAGUGGAAAAGAAUCUGCCUGUCAAUUCAGGAGACAGGGUUUGAUCCCUGGGUUGGGUUGGGAAAAUCCCCUGGAGAAGGAAAUGGAAACCCACUCCAGUAUUCUUACCUGGGAAAUCCCAUGGACAGAAGAGCCUGGCAGGCUACAGUCCAAAGGGUGUAAAAGAAUUGGACAUGACUUAGCAACUAAAUAAAAACAACAACAACUCUAUAUAUAUAAGGUUUCCCUCUCUUAAACUUCCAAGUGCAUUUAAGGGUACAUAGUUGUGUUUUGUUAAUCUAUGAUGAGAAUUAAGUCUAUGUCAGGUGCUAGGUUAAGUGUUUUACAUGUAUUAACAUUGUAGGGAAAUGCAACUUUUGACUCCGUCUCAUAUCUGAACAAAGAGAUCAUGUAACUUGCCCAUGACCACUGGGAAAUGGUAGAGUCAUUUAUUUCCUGUAUUGAUAGAGAUAGUACUCCAUCUUUUGCUAAGAUUUUAUUAUGUUUUACCUACCUUUUGCUUGCAAGAAUAAUUGACAUUUGUAAGGGGAUUAACAUUUUACCAUUCAUCAGCUCAUUAAUGUCAAAAAUACUUUUGUGAUGUUGUUAUUACUAUUUUCCCCACGUUUCACAGGAAGUAUGUGGAAGAAAUAGUAUUCGGCCAGCUGAUAUUUCACCCGACCUCAGGCCACUGAACUCCCUUGCCUGGCCUCCUGCAAGCCAGGAGACCUGAAUCUGCUUGCAAUAAAGAAGAGAAAGUUAAAAAAAAAAAACCAAAACAGAGGACAUGUGCUGUAGCAAGUUACAGCAUAAUUUGAAGAAGCUUAUCAAGCUUAUCAAGUCAAAGCUAUGGUUUUUCCAGUAGUCAUGUACAGAUGUCAGAACUGGACCAUAAAGAAGCCUGAGUGCUAAAGAAUCGAUGCUUUUGAACUGUGAUGUUAGAAAAGACUCUUGAGAGUCCCUUGGACAGCAAGGAUAUCAAACCAGUCCAUCCUAAAGGAAAUCAACCCUGAAUAUUCAUUGGAAGGACUGAUGCUGAAGCUGAAACUCCAGCACUUUGGCCACCUGAUGUGAAAAGCUGGCUCAUUGGAAAAGACCCAGUCUUUCCCUGCUGGGAAAGAUUGAGGACACGGGGAGAAGUGGGUGACCGAGGAUGAGAUGGUUGGAUGGGAUCAUCGACUCAGUGGAUAUGAGUUUGAGGAAACUCCAGGAGAUAGUGAAGGACAGGGAAGCCUGGCGUGCUGCAGUCCAUGGGGUCACCAAGAAUUGGACAUGAUUGAGAAACUGAACAACAACAAAAAUCAAACUUCCUCGUUGCAUCAUGCAGGAUCUUUCAUUGUGGUGUGUGGACUCUCUCAUUGUGGCACGUGGACUCAGUGGUUGCAACACACAGGCUUAGUUCCUCUGAGGAACCCCACAGUAGGGGAACUUUUGGUCCCACACAACUUUGAGCCUCUCCUGAUAAACAGCCCAGCAGGUGUCUCAGUACUCUGAUUUACUUGCAGCUCGCCCGUCUGUCCAGCGUAAGUGACCCAAACAGCAGAAGGACGGGCCUUGUUUCUCAGUGUAUGGGCUUGGCAGUAUCUUGGCCCUUGUCCAAGUCACCAGAUACACUCUCCAUCAUUACCAUUAACAGCAACAGAUUAAAAUGCAACUAUUACAAAUCAGAAUCCACGCCAGCGCCUGAGUUGAUGAGUUGAGAGGAGAGGAGGACAGAAAGGAGAAAUCUAAAGGGCUUUACCAGGCUGGAUGGAAGAAGGAAAGACCACCAGGAAAGCGCGUGGCUCAAGUGGAGCUAUAAACCAGCUCUGCACUCUUCCGAGGAUUUAUAUUCAACUGAAGACGCGUCCAAUGCAGGACGUUAUGGCUUUCUGCUUUCUUUUUGCUUACAUGGAGAAAUAACAGUUAAUAUAGUCAACUAUCCCAAGGCAGAAGACUAUUAUUAAAAAAGAAUACUUUGCAACAUUAUUGAUUUCUCAAGUCACUGUCAGAUAUUUUAAGAUUUGGAUUUAAUAAAACAUAAUAUGAUUUCUUUUAUGGGAUUUUUAUGUUUUCCCAGUCUUUAUCACCCUUGGGUGUUUCUUAGUUGAAAAUGAGAGUAUCUACCAAGUAUCAGCUGAAC